UACGUAGGGUGCAAGCGUUGUCCGGAAUUAUUGGGCGUAAAGAGCGUGUAGGCGGCCAUACAGGUCCGUUGUGAAAACUCGAGGCUUAACCUCGAGACGUCGAUGGAAACCGUAUGGCUAGAGUCCGGAAGAGGAGAGUGGAAUUCCUGGUGUAGCGGUGAAAUGCGCAGAUAUCAGGAAGAACACCCGUGGCGAAGGCGGCUCUCUGGGACGGUACUGACGCUGAGACGCGAAAGCGUGGGGAGCGAACAGG
rnacentral:rRNA from 1 species